CUUAGGCUAAGCUAUAUUAUAUAUAGCUGCUCUGCUAUGAUCCCCUUAAGAUAAUUCUAGUUUA
rnacentral:ncRNA from 1 species